rnacentral:lncRNA from 1 species
CCUCAGUCUUAGCGUAUUCCAUAUUGAUUUUUGGGUAUUCAUUCUCCUGAAAACCUCAUCAUUUUUUAUCUUUUCCGUCCAUGAAAUUUUUAGCACUCUUCUCCAACACCAUACUUCAAAGGCUUCUAUUUUAGCUUUUUUAGCCUUCAUUAUUGUCCAAGUCUCUGCUCCAUAUAGAGCUACGCUCCACACAAAGUUUUUUAUAAGUGCUUUCCUGGUGUCCAGACUUGCAACUCUAAACAUACGUAAAGUGUGAGUAUGCCCAUAUGACAUUUUGUGUGUCAGUACAUAGAAUUCAAAAUUAGUAUCUUGAAGAAGAAGUAUACCUUAUCUCAAUUUAGCUUCAUUAUUAUUACUAUUAAUGAAAUAUUUCAAAAAAUAGAUAACCAUAAUAUAUAUUCUGGAUCUAAAAGUUAAUAACUAAAUUUAAAUUAUAAAUAAUUAUUAAUAAUAUAAAAUAUCCCUUAUCCUUCUUCUGUCGAAAUUUGUUUAACAUUUUCAUUAUAUUUAUGCCCAAUCAAAACUCUAACAAUAUCUGGUGGUGCUUCCUAAAAAAUAUAUUUGGAAUGUUAAAUAUUCAUGUAAUUAUUAAGCCAUAAUAUUGGUUAAAUCAAAUCUUAGAUAAUAUACAACUUCUUGAAUGAUUUGUUAAUAUUAACAUAAUCUUCUAUAACUUAACUAAGAAACUAUAACCAUUUUUGGUUAAUUAAUUAACAUGUUUAAUAAUUAAAUAGGUAUUAUAUAUUUGUUUUUAAUAUUUAUUUAAUAAUGUACCGAUUUUAAUAAGUUUUUUCCAGUUUUUCACAUUUUCUGGGAAAAUUCUUUCCCAUAUAUCCUUUCGGAAAAAAUGCUAUCAUUGUAAAUCAGAACAAAAUUUCUGGUAGAAAUUUUGCUCACAAAAAAAAAAGAAGGCCUUAGUAUAAUUUAACUUAUACCUACAUUUUUCCCUGUUUUUUUCACUUAUUCACUUCAGCUAAGUGCUAUCAUUGUAAAUUGGAGCAAAAUCUCGAUAGUAGAAAAGUUAUCCACAGAAAAAAAAAAUUUUAAUAUUUUUACUAGAUUAUAUAUUUUGUACAUUUUUCAGUUUUUCUGCAUUUUUUACGGUCAUUCAUAUUUGAUAAAAAAAAAAACUCAUGGGAAAAUUGAAAAUUACUUCUCUUAAGUACCACAUAAGAAAAUUUCCUUUCAGAAAUGGUCUACUACAUUCUUUGCUACUCUUAAAAUCUAAAAUGUAAGCAAAUAUUAUAGUAUGUACUUCUUGAAUAAUUUUAAACCAUCUUUUCAUAUUAAUUAAUGUUGUUAGUCAUGUAACAUCAUAAACAAAUAGUACGCCAUGAAUAUUUCAAAAAAGGGAGAGAAAAAUAUUUUUCUUGGCCAACUGUGUCCCUGAUAAACAUUAAAAAAAAAACACUCGGCAUUCCUCGUAUUAUUUGUCGGUUUUAGGUGAGUAUAAUUUUUUAACCAAUCUAAAGUAUUUGAAAAUUGAACACGAUAUAAGUUAGCUUACAUCAUGUUACAACUUAUUAUAAGUUUUAAUUGAUGAUCAAACAUAAAUAAAUUGUGUGUUAUGUAUUAUUUUUAUUUUUACAAGCAUUUAAAUAUCAAACUUCAGUUUAACGAGAAUCGUAAAAAUAACGGCAUUUUUUAUAUCGUUACUAUUUGGUAGGUAUACGUGGAUAAAUUGGUUUAGCUGAACAUAAAUACUUGACAAUUUAAUACAAGAUUAAUUUUAAAUUGCACUUAGUAGUCAAAAAAGGAAAUUUGAGUUUAAUGCUUUAGUGUUUUUUUGAUAGGCGUUUUAAGAUCAAAUUACGGCAUUUAUAAUAAUAAUAAUAAUUUUAGACUUAAUUAAAUAACAUACAUUUUAAUAAUAGAAAAUAUUCAAAAUGUUGUUUUAUUAUUUUUGUUUAUUCAAAAUUGUGUCCGAAUUAUAACUCAAAAUUUGCACGUUCUUUCAAAUUUUUGUUUAAGAUAUCGUCGUUCAUACUUCCAAGUUUUGUAAUUCAACAUUUUCUGAUUAAAAACAAUGAUAAGAAAUGUAUUAACUACAAGUUGAUAAUUAAUAGAGUUUCAGGCGAUUCAGCUAAAAUACGUGGCUUUAGUGAAUCCACAUUCCACAAGAUAUUUUUUCUGGAAUAUUAAAUCAGUAAAUUUUUUUGGAAAUAAUUUAAAUUUAGAAUCAAUACAAUUAUAUGAAAGAUUAUGUAUUACGUGAUGUAAAAAACUUGAUAAGCUUCAGCUAAAUUUUAAGUGUAUUUUUAGUGACAAUAAAGGACGAAUUUAUGACCGUUAAUUGUUUUGGUGAGCUUUGCAUUCGUUUAUGAAAAAUACUAGUUGUUUGCAUAAUGUUGAACAUCUGAUUUUCACUAUGAGAAAUUAAAAAGUCUUUUUACGUACAUAACUUACAAUGAGUACAUAAAUUACUAUUUGUUGACCUUUGAAAUUACCUAACUAAACCAUAUAUGUCAAAAAAUACUAAGCCAUUUUACUUUUUAUGGCGUUUUGUUGUUUUUCAUCAAUCGUCAUUAUCCAUGUCAUUUAUAUGUGCAUUCAUUUUUUUUUACAGAAAAAAAAACCAACACUAUUACUAC